rnacentral:lncRNA from 1 species
CAAUGGUGAAAGAUUUUUUAUAAUCAGUCCAGUAGUAUUUGUGUUAGAUUGUAAGAAACAAAUAAUAUUAUCUAAAGAUCGGUCACUGUCAUCCUAAGAACCUAAAUUAAACCAUUGAAUAUUAUUUACAGGUCUAGGCAGCUUUAAACUUUUAUGCCAAUGGAUCAUACAAAUGGCUUUGUGAUGGCUAAGGCAUCUUUUAGCAAAUGCCUACAUGAAGUCGCUGACGCUCCUGAAUACCCCAGCUGUUUAAAAAAAAUGUGUUAAGUUCCCUUUGCAUUAAACACAAAAUCAUUAUAAAUAAAUAUGUGAUGCCAAUCUAAUAAUAACAUAGUGGAUGCUCAAUUUGGUGGUGCAUCUUAUGACUUGUACAUAUGGAACCAGUGCAAUAAGACCACUUGA